rnacentral:rRNA from 1 species
GACGAACGCUGGCGGCGUGCUUAACACAUGCAAGUCGAACGGAAAGGCCCUGCUUUUGUGGGGUGCUCGAGUGGCGAACGGGUGAGUAACACGUGAGUAACCUGCCCUUGACUUUGGGAUAACUUCAGGGAACUGGGGCUAAUACCGGAUAGGAGCUCCUGCUGCAUGGUGGGGGUUGGAAAGUUUCGGCGGUUGGGGAUGGACUCGCGGCUUAUCAGCUUGUUGGUGGGGUAGUGGCUUACCAAGGCUUUGACGGGUAGCCGGCCUGAGAGGGUGACCGGCCACAUUGGGACUGAGGUACGGCCCAGACUCCUACGGGAGGCAGCAGUGGGGAAUAUUGCACAAUGGGCGGAAGCCUGAUGCAGCAACGCCGCGUGCGGGAUGACGGCCUUCGGGUUGUAAACCGCUUUCGCCUGUGACGAAGCGUGAGUGACGGUAAUGGGUAAAGAAGCACCGGCUAACUACGU